rnacentral:rRNA from 1 species
GGGUAAUUUUCCGCAAUGGGCGCAAGCCUGACGGAGCAAGACCGCGUGAGGGAAGAAGGUCUGUGGAUUGUAAACCUCUUUUGAUAGGGAAGAAGACAGUGACGGUACCUAUCGAAUCAGCCUCGGCUAACUCCGUGCCAGCAGCCGCGGUAAUACGGAGGAGGCAAGCGUUAUCCGGAAUUAUUGGGCGUAAAGAGUCCGUAGGUGGGUAACCAAGUCAGCUGUUAAAUAGUGAAGCUUAACUUCAUAGAGGCGGCUGAAACUGGUUGUCUAGAGUGUGGUAGGGGUAGAGGGAAUUUCCAGUGUAGCGGUGAAAUGCGUAGAUAUUGGAAAGAACACCGGUGGCGAAAGCGCUCUACUGGGCCUGCACUGACACUGAGGGACGAAAGCUAGGGGAGCGAAAGGGAUUAGAUACCCCUGUAGUCCUAGCCGUAAACGAUGGAUACUAGGCGUUGCCCGUAUCGACCCGGGCAGUGUCGUAGCCAACGCGUUAAGUAUCC